AGGUGAUAUCUCAUUGUUGUUUUGAUUUUUAUUUCUCUGCUGAUUAGUGAGGUUGAGUAUCUUUUCAGCUAUCUAAUUGCCAUG